rnacentral:rRNA from 1 species
ACUGGUGAACGACGCGAGGAUGACUUGCCCUCUAGCCGGGAAUGGCCGAUAGACAUUCCGGGGAUUGCCUAAUACCGUCUCCCCUCUGAAGAGGAAAACAGGAAACCUUCGUAUGCUGUGUUAUACGAACGGUCUGCAUCCGAUUAGCUGGUUGGUGGGGUAAAGGCCUACCAAGGCGACGAUCAGUAUCCGGCCUGAGAGGAGGACGGACACACUGGGACUGAAUACGGCCCCAACUCCCUACGGGAGGCACAGCUAAGAAUACUUCGCAAUGGGAGGAACCCUGGACCGACGACGCCCCGUGGACUAUGAAAGGUUUUCGAAUGUAAAGUCUUUUUUGACAUAAAAAAAAAAUUGUGCGAGAGAUGGGAUGAUGCUGACACUAUAGCUUAACUAAACGGCAGCUAUUUAUACGUGCCCACCCGCGCUAUCACACAUAGGGCCCGAGUUGUUCCCGGUUAUUGUGCGUAUAGGGCAUGCGCGCGCUCGUGCAUAACUCUGAAGAAAAGCGCUGUGCUCUUCUCCCGAACUGCGCUGGGAAACUGUUUAGCUUGAGUGUCUGAGGGUAGAGUGGAAUUCCAUGUGUAGCGGUGAAAUCUGUAGAUAUAUGGAGGAACACCGGUGGCGAAAGCAGGCUCUCUGGCUUAGUACUGACGCUGAGUGUCGAAAGUCGCUGGGAGCAAACAGGAUUAGAUACCCUGGUAGUCCGA